CGCACGCGCGUUACACUGACGGAGCCAGCGAGUACCUCCUUGGCAGAAAUGCCCGGGUAAUCUUGUUAAACUCCGUCGUGGGGAUAGAGCAUUGCAAUUAUUGCUCUUCAACGAGGAAUUCCUAGUAAGCGCAAGUCAUCAGCUUGCGUUGAUUACGU
rnacentral:rRNA from 1 species